AUUUAGCUGACGAGUCCCAAAUAGGACGAAACGCGCAUCCUGGAU
rfam:Schistosoma rodhaini strain Burundi genome assembly, scaffold: SROB_scaffold0020586